rnacentral:tRNA from 1 species
UAGCCUAGUGGUGAAGGCUAUGGACUGCCAAUCCAGAGACGGGGGGUUUGAUUCCCGU